rnacentral:lncRNA from 1 species
AGAAUUGCAUUCAUAUUUUAGUAAAAAAAAAAUCACUAGCCACAAAAUAUCAAUACAAACUAGUCACAAAGGGUCAUUAUAAGGGUUAUUGAUCCCAAUGGUCCCCCAACUAUUGCUCCAGUAUCAUUUUGGUCCACGAACUAAAUUUUUCAUUUGAACCAUCCUUCAACUCUUUUUUUUGUAUCAAGAUGGUCGUACCGUUAAAGUCUGUCAAAUAUUCCGUUAAAUUGAGGCGCAAAAAAGUAAAAUAUUAUUUUUUUUAAAG